rnacentral:snRNA from 1 species
GUGCUCACUUCAGCAGCACAUAUACUAAAAUUGGAACGAUACAGACAAGAUUAGCAUGGCCCCUAAAAAAAAAAAAAAAAUGUCUAUGGAUACAACCAAGAUAUCUUU